CCGAGUUUACAACUCCCAAACCCAUGUGAACAUUACCAACUGUUGCCUCGGCGGGAUCUCUGCCCGGUGCGUCCCCCGGUACCAAGGGACGGCCCGCCAGAGGACCACCACUCUUAUUAUACCCCUCGCUGUUUUUUAUAUCUGAACCUUCUCGCGCUCUCGUAAGCUUCAUAAAUAAAUCA
rnacentral:misc_RNA from 1 species